UACAGAGGAGCCAAGCGUUGUCCGGAUUGACUGGGCGUAAAGCGCACGCAGGCGGACGCGCGCGUGGGGUGUGAAAUCUGGCCGCUUAACGGCCAGGCGCCAUCCCAUACGGCGGGUCUGGAGCCUUGCAGAGGUCGGUGGAAUUGCCGGUGUAGUGGUGAAAUGCGUAGAUAUGCGGAGGAACACCGAUGGCGAAGGCAAUCCCCUGGACCUGUACUGACGCUCAUGCACGAAAGCGUGGGGAGCAAACAGG
rnacentral:rRNA from 1 species